rnacentral:misc_RNA from 1 species
AUUAUUAUUAUUAUUAUUAUUAUUAUUAUUAUUUUAUCAUUCAGGACAGGGAUGGGAGUUCAUUGUGCAACAUGUGCUUCUAUAACAUUUGUGAUAUAUCGGUUACUUGAUGAAUAAAAACAUGUGAUCACACUUGCAUCUUUACAUAAUUAUAUGGCAACAUUUUCACCACAGACCAGUUAUAUAUUUUAAAGAUCACGAAAAUCGCCUGCGCAUUUGGCUGCUAGGCGCAAAAAUUACUUAUUAAUGACUUGGAUUUUACACUCAGAUUAGCAGUGUAGUGGAAUAAUAGUUGUAGGUAAACAAUGAUAGAACCAUCAGGGCCGGCAACGCCAGUUGUGAGGAAUAUAGUCAAGCCGCAGGAAGCACAGACCAACAUGGAAGAUGACAAAAACAGCACUAACGAAUCCCUCCAGGGCAGUAUGCUAAGUAGGCCCAGCAGGAGUAGUGAAAAGGGCAGGAGGAGCAGCGGGGGCAGCAGGAGGAGCAGUGAGAGCAGCAGGAGGAGCAGUGAAGCCAGCAGUCUGAGCACUACCAGCAGUAACAUCAACAUUGACGAUCUCUCCCUGCUGUCCGAGUCCUUCCCGGCCAUGUUGUGGCAUCGAUGGAUCGGUCUCCCGAUGCCACUAGGAAAGAUGUCGGACUACGGGUUUGAGGAGGAUGACAGUGGUGGACUCGGGGGCCACCAAACCGACGCCGGCCAGAACUACAUCACCGUCAUCCCUGUCGAGUACCCGACCAGAAGACCUUACGCCGACUACGACGCCUUCCCGAGAUCCGCCACCAUAUCCAGGACUCGGAGGCGUCCUCGUGGCGAGACAGAUGCCUUCCCGCGGUCUGCAACCAUAUCCAGAGAGUUCCUGCGGGAGAGGGCGGCGGCGGACUUCCUUCGGGGAGACUACAAGGGCAGCGCCGACCACCUGGACAAGGCGGCAGGCUUCUACCCGGGUCUCCCGCCGCCAGCCUUCGAAGUGCCGCCCCUCACGCUGGAGCCGGAGACCCGCAGGCCCUCCACCCACAUGAUGGCCACGCCCCCACAUACCACCACCGCCUCGACCAACAUGCCCACCCACACUCUCCCCACCACCACCACCUCCGUCAUCCAUCCAUCAGUGCCACAGACUUCGGUGCACUCUGACGACUUCGACAAGACCAUUAAUAAGAGUGACCACGAGAGAAAAGCAACUAAAGGUCGGUCCUCGGGUGGAGUGGAGGUGUGCGUGUUCCUACACUCCCGGCUGGCGGUCAGACUACGACUGGAAGAUGGCGCCCACAUCACCGCCCAGGAGCUCCAGGCCAUGGUGAUCGAGGAGGAGGACGUGGCUCUCCCCAAGCAGGCCAUGGAGGUCUUCGCCAUCUGGAUGGUCUCCCCUGUACUAGAGAUCCAGUUGAAGCCCUACCAGCGGGCUCUGGAGGUCCGGCGACAGUGGGGAGAGUUGCUCAAGCGCUUCGCCCAGAUCCCCAUUAAGCCCCAAGACGCCCGCUACGCUCACGAACCCAAGAUGGUGCUCAGAAGAAACGUUUUCUUUAGCAAGAGAGACGAGGUCAAGAUCAGAGAUGCAAAGAUCCUGGAGUUGCUGUACGAGGAGGCGCAGUGGAACAUGCGCUCGGCGCGCUACCCUUGUGAGCUCUCUGACUACGAGAUGUUGGCGGGCAUCCAGAGCAGACUCGAACUCGGGCCCUACGACCACACCACCCACACACCCUCCUUCUUCAGACGUCGACUGUUGGAUUACCUCCCUGAACACGCAUGUCGGCUCAAGUUCAGCGACCUGGUCAGUUUUAGCAGUAAGUCGACGCCGGAGAUCCGCAUCAUCGAGCAGUUUCGGUCCAUCCCCAGCAACGUGACGGCCCGCAAGCUGGUCAGAAAAUACCUGGAGUUCUCCUGGUCUCUCCCUUACUACGGGAGUGCGUUCUUCCAUGGCCAGAUCGAGCAGCCGACGCGAGGGGUGAGUUCGUGGCUUCCUCGUCCGGACAUCGCGGUCCUCGUCACCAUCAACGCCACCGGCGUCACCGUCAUAGACCCCAACAAGUCGACUGUGUUGCUGAGCUUGAGGUACGACGAACUAUCGUGGGACUUCGCCAGACCAAGCAACGAACGGAGCGCCACAUGUCUUCCCUGCCUCUUCCUGCAGUUCGCCGUCGUCGAGAAUGGCAGAAGAUACUCUAAGCUCCUACAAAUCUUCUCCAAACAGGCCAUCAUGAUGGACGCGCUCAUCAGCACCUUCGUGGAGGAGCUCAAGCGGCGGGCGGCCCAGUACCCGGACGACCUGGAGGGCCACAUGCUCGACCAUGGCACCGAGAUUGAUGAUGUGUUGGUGCCGCUGUCGACGGUGUCGCGGAAGGAGGUGCCGGAGUCGGUGCUGUGCAAUAAGCUGCAUAGGCUCUCCCUCGCUACCUUCACCGAGGAUGGAACGCUGGAGAGAGCUGAGUCUGGCGAAAUUGAGUCUGGCGAAAAGAAAAGUAAGUCUGGCCAAAGAUGGAUCAUCGCACCUUGAUGGUUGGAAAAGCUGGUGUGGCUGCUUAGUUAAAGGAAACACUUCUAGCUGUGAACAUCAUACAUGAAUUUUGCCAUUCCCAUUGUAUUAUUGCUAGUGGAGUAGUAAGAGAAAUGGAUAAUGUCACGGAUGUCACCAUAAAUACGACCUUAAGAGAGCACCAAGUCUUUACAACAAAUUCUUCAACUGCUGAGAUAAAAUGAGAACCCCUCACAGACUGCUGUGUCACACUGAUGGUCGCUAUGUCGCUGCGUAGGCACGAUGGGCUCGUGGCAGUUCAGCAGAUGAGGGGAAGCCAUCAACUACGUGUGACAAGACACCCGCACGGCCAUCACCACCCCCGGGCUCCACACCUCACACUCCACCGCCUCAUGGUUCCACACCUCACACUCCACCGCCUCCUGGAUCUCCACCUCACACUCCACCGCCUCCUGGAUCAUCUCCGCGCCGGAGUCCACGCCUCUACUUCGAUCCUGACCAUCACAAACUCCAAUGUUUACACCGGCACUCAUUAUUGUUUUUUUUUUACAGCCAGGUUUGUUUACAAAAAACAAAUUUCGGGCAAUAUAUUGUUGGUGACCAACGUGUGCUCAUUGUGAGUGUAUCGUCGAUUUUGACCCCAUCUUUUGAGAUACGAUCAAAGAAACUUUAUCUCCAUUGCGUUCUAUUGACAAUGGGAAGUUAAGAAUUUUCCAAGCACCCAGAUCGUGACGUCUCUCAAAGGUGAAAUCCACAGCCUAUCAAAAAGUCAGAAAGAUUAGACACCGGUCUCCAUAUGCUCAAUGGCCUUAGUUGCUAGGCUGCAAUGGUGUCAUUGAUGUCUUGACAGCAUCAACAGAUAGCAGUGACAGGAUGUAGGAGAGAUCUCCAUGCUGGUUUUCCUACCAUGCAAAACUGGACAUCAACAACGCAGUUAAGUACAAAAAUUUACAAACCGGCAAAGUUUCAGGCAAGCAAACGGGCCAUUGGCCUCCUGUGUGCUAUUUUUCUCUCGGAACUGUAUUGACGUGGUUAAUAAUGCUUAAUAUUUCGUUAAUAAUUCCAGGUUUAAAAAAUAUGAAGGAUUUGAAAGUUGCUAAUUUUUGUAAUCUUUUGUAUUGAUGAAAAAGUUAAGCUGUUUCUUUAGUAAAGUGACCAAAUAAAAAUCUAAACAUUUUAAAAGAUUGAGGAAUACAUUACAAAUCUAAAAGUUUGUAAAUUUCAAGGAAAAAUUUUAACUGUGGGGAAUAACAAACAAAAACUUAUUAUUUACCCAAAAGAUAAAACAAAAGUCACCCUAGAGAUCAAAUAAAUUCAGAGUGAAGCACAAGAGCCAAAUAAUGAUUGUACUUAAACAUGCCUUGGGCAUCACCUUGCCUUUCUUCCCUCAGUUAUCUAGGCGGAGCCAUUUAUCAUAUGUAUAGAUCAUGUUUACACAGAGAGCCUCACCAAUAAUUCUUGUACUGAGCCUCUUGAGGCUAUGAUAUGAUACUUGAGGCUAUGAUAUGAUACUUGAGGCUAUGAUAUGAUACGGUAUGAUACUAUGAUAUUGACAAUCUUUGAUUUACAUUUUAUUGGUCUCUUUCUCAUCAAAACGUUUACAUUGACAGUAAUUGCAUCGAUUUUGCUUCCAUUUAACCGACAUUUUCAUUCACUGCUUAUCUAACUACAGUGUUUCGUAAACUAAUAAUUUAUGCGUUAAUUAAAAGGGAUCGUUUAAUUAUUAAUGUUCAGUACAUUUGCCCAGGACGUGAUGAGUGAUGCUGUUCAUGUGUUACUAGUGCAGUUUAACAAUUACAACGCAAUUUGUAUGUUAAAACUAUUUGUGUGUACUCUGCUGCAACCCCGCAACUCUUCAUUCUCAGCCGUCUUUUGUUUAUAUAUAUAUAUAUAUAUAUAUAUAUAUAUAUAUAUAUAUAUAUAUAUAUAUAUAUAUAUAUAUAUAUAUAUAUAUGCAUAACCAGCGUGUUCCUCCAAUGUCAAUGAGCAUUUAGUAAAUAGGACCAAUUUCCCCAUUCUGUAACUUCGACGCAACAAAUUGGGUUCGAGUUUGACCACCUUGUAGUAUUUUCAGUGUUACUUGCUGUACCGUGGUUCUACGUGGAUGGAACAGCAUAUAGUAGAGAUAGAAGCUGGCGUUCCAAAACACCAAUGGCAUAUGCAUUGCGUCGUAAGCUCAUAACAAAACAGUUUGGAAAUAUCAAGUUGAUCAUUCCGCCAGCGAGCCAGCAGUUAUCCCUGUGUACUUGUCUCAUUACCGUGUAAUGUUUUACUAACAGAAUACGUGGUAUCCUUAAUAUACUCUUUUAUAACAUCUAUUGUGAAACUCCGUUGGUUAAUAAUGUUGACUGUACAUUAGUAAGUUAAUGAAUGGGUAUGCAGUGCUCAUUAAAUGGGAUCAUAUGAAUAUAUGACAUGAAAGGACGAAAGGUAUAUAUGUAUGGGCGAGCAUCUGUACAAUAAUUUUUCUACGUCAUUAAGAAAGUGUACUUAAACCCCGAUUCUUCCCAGUCAUUAACUGUGAAUAAAUAUGGUAUUUAACAAAGCUUCUCUGUGAGAGAAACGUAAACAAUUUUAUAAACGGCUGAAUCUGAACCAUGGCGGCAAUAUAAAGCAGGGGCCAGAUUCACGAAAGCACUUACGAACCUGUACAUCUUUUCUCGAUCUUUGGCGGCUUUGUUUCCAUUUAUUAAACAGUUAAUGAACUCCGAAGCACCAGGAGGCUGUUUAUAACAAU